GUGAGGAAUAUUGCGCAAUGGAGGCAACUCUGACGCAGCCAUGCCGCGUGCAGGAAGAAGGCGCUACGCGUUGUAAACUGCUUUUAACCGGGAAGAAACCCCAGGACGUGUCCUGGGUUGACGGUACCGGAGGAAUAAGCACCGGCUAACUUCGUGCCAGCAGCCGCGGUAAUACGAAGGGUGUAAGCGUUAUCCGGAUUCAUUGGGUUUAAAGGGUGCGUAGGCGGAGAGUUAAGUCAGUGGUGAAAUCCUGCAGCUUAACUGUAGACUUGCCAUUGAUACUGGCGCUCUUGAGUGCGCUUGAAGUGGGCGGAAUGUGCCGUGUAGCGGUGAAAUGCUUAGAUAUGGCACAGAACACCAAUUGCGAAGGCAGCUCACUAAGGCGAUACUGACGCUGAGGCACGAAAGCGUGGGGAUCGAACAGGAUUAGAUACCCGUGUAGUCC
rnacentral:rRNA from 1 species